UUCCCUUUCUGCCCUCUGCCAUGUGAGGUCACAGUGUUCCUCCCUCCUGAGGAUGCAGUGUUCAUGAAAGCAAACACUGGGCCCUCACCAGGCAACAAACCUGCUGGUGCCUUCAUCUUGGACUUCCCAGCCUUCGGAACUAUGGAGCCCGCACUCUCCAGUUCAUCACCACCCCAGCAUCCCUACUCUUGCAUCUAACAGUUUCCGCUAUUUUGCACCACCUGCCUGGCCCUUAUGGGCAACUCAAGGAAGAAAGGAAAGAAGAGAUAGAGGAAAAAUGGAUUCAACAAAUGAAAGUGUUCUUUCUGACUACUGCUGUGUUUACAAACAUUUUAAUCAUCAAAACAUGCUUUAUUUGAUAGAAAGAUCAAAUCUGCCUUUGUAAAACAAGAGACUAUUUUAAUCAUUAAGACAACACACAUGUUUGAUUUGGAGGCGUGUUCUCAUUCAAAACCUUGCAAAAUAUAAUUUCUUCUUGUCUGGGAGAUGGUGUCUUUCUUCGGGGAGAACCUUGAGAGAAAUGUCUAUGAAUGUGUCUGUAGAUUGAGGAUAGGCCAACAAACAUAUUUUGAAAUAUUUUUUCUUUCUUUUAAAAAAAUAGAUACUUUUAAAAGAAAAUGCUUAUUUAAAUUACAUAGCUCUUUUUUUCACUCUCAGUCAUCAUUUGUGGUUUCAGUCAGUACUACAUUUAUUCCCCAGAGCUAGGAUUGCUGUGUUUUUAGAAAGGGAGCCUGUUUGAAGGGACUCUAUACUCUUGCAGUAAUUAAAAUCCUUUUAGGAGUCUUUGACUUUGACUUACUGCUUUGUUUUAAAUUAUUGAAAUUAUUCAACUUCCCCAUUCUAACCCACGGAAGGCUGUUGUUGUUCUCAUUUAUAAUGGCACAAUAUAAGUUUAAAGAUAGCUGUCUCCACAUGAAUGCAUCUGCAAAUCCAUCUCUCUUCUCUCUUCUGCCAUCCAGGUUAAGAAGCUCCACUGCGCUUUGUCCAUUGCAAGUUGAGAAGUGAGGCCCCAGCUGUCACAUACAGUGAGUGAAGAAGCUGAGCUUCCCUCAACGCCUGGGCCUGUAUGAAUUUUUUUUUUUUUUUUUUUUUUGGAGACGGAGUCUCACUUUGUUGCCCAGGCUGGAGUGCAAUGGCACUAUCUCAGGCCACUGCAACCUCUGCCUCCCAGGUUCAAGCGAUUCUUCUGCCUCAGCCUCCUGAGUAGCUGGGAUUACAGAAGUGCACCAUUACAGCUUGCUAAUUUUUGUAUUUUUAGUAGAGAAGGGUUUUCACCAUGUUGGCCAGGUUGGUCUCGAACUCUUGGCCUCAGGUGAUCCGCCCGCACAGCCUCCCAAAGUGUUGGGAUUACAGGCGUGAGCCACUGCGCCCGGCCUUAGUAGAGACGGGGUUUCUCCAUGUUGAGGCUGGUCUCAAACUCCUGACCUCAGGUGAUUCACCCGCCUCGGCCUCCCAAACUGCUGGGAUUAUAGGCAUAAGCCACCGCGCCCGGCCUUAGGCUCCAUCACAAGAGGGAGCCCCAUUGCUAGUCCCCAUCCUCAAAGCCUCUGCGUGAUGUUGUCUACUGUUACUCUUCACUACCCUGUGGGAGCCAAAGCCCUGGACAUAAGAACAGAAGGCAAGCAGUGGUGGCUGAGAGGAAGAACUGACACCUUUGUGCUAUCAGAGCACUUUGCAGAGGAGCUGUUAGUGGCCCUGUAGGAGUCUGCUGGCCAUACAUCUGGGUGUCAAAUCAAGAGAGCAUGAGAAGUUGGACAGGAAAGGUCCAAGGCAAAAUGGUUACUAAAGGCCAUCCCUGAUCCUGACCCUAAAAGAAGAAAAGGCCCUUUGCUCUUGGCAUGCUUUUGCAGGAGUGUCUCAGUCUGUUUGGGCUGCUAUAACAUUGACUGGGUGAUCUGCCUGCCUGGCCUCCCAAAGUGCUGGGGUUACAGGUGUGAGCCGCUGCACCAGGCCUUGAGGUCAGGAGUUCGAGACCAGCCUGGCCAACAUGGUGAAACCUGUCUUUACUAAAAAUACAGAAAUUAGCCAGGCAUGGAGGCGCAUGCCUGUAAUCCCAGCUACUGGGGAGGCUGAGGCAGGAGAAUCGCUUGAACCCAGAAGGUGGAGGUUGCGGUGAGCCCAGAUAGUGCCAUUGCACUCUAGCCUGGCCAACAAGAGUGAAACUCUGUCUCAAAAAAUAAAUAAACAAACAAACAAACAACAA
rnacentral:lncRNA from 1 species